rnacentral:snRNA from 1 species
CGGUCGUACUCAUAACCG